rnacentral:rRNA from 1 species
GAUGAACGCUGGCGGCGUGCUUAACACAUGCAAGUCGAACGAAGCUGCCUAAAGGAAGUUUUCGGAUGGAAUUUAGGUAGACUUAGUGGCGGACGGGUGAGUAACGCGUGGAUAACCUGCCUUAUACAGGGGGAUAACGGAGAGAAAUUUCCGCUAACACCGCAUAAGACCACAGCACCGCAUGGUGCAGGGGUAAAAUAUUUAUAGGUAUAAGAUGGAUCCGCGUCCGAUUAGCUAGUUGGUGAGGUAAAGGCCCACCAAGGCGACGAUCGGUAGCCGGCCUGAGAGGGUGAACGGCCACAUUGGGACUGAGACACGGCCCAAACUCCUACGGGAGGCAGCAGUGGGGAAUAUUGGACAAUGGGGGAAACCCUGAUCCAGCGACGCCGCGUGAGUGAAGAAGUAUUUCGGUAUGUAAAGCUCUAUCAGCAGGGAAGAAAAUGACGGUACCUGACUAAGAAGCCCCGGCUAACUACGUGCCAGCAGCCGCGGUAAUACGUAGGGGGCAAGCGUUAUCCGGAUUUACUGGGUGUAAAGGGAGCGCAGACGGCAAUGCAAGUCUGAAGUGAAAGGCGUGGGCUCAACCCAUGAACUGCUUUGGAAACUGUAUAGCUUGAGUGUCGGAGGGGUAAGCGGAAUUCCUAGUGUAGCGGUGAAAUGCGUAGAUAUUAGGAGGAACACCGGAGGCGAAGGCGGCUUACUGGACGACAACUGACGUUGAGGCUCGAAGGCGUGGGGAGCAAACAGG